rnacentral:rRNA from 1 species
GGUCGAUAGGAUGGAAGUGUAAGAACAGAAAUGUUUUCAGCUCACCAUUACUAAUCAGUCGUGAGGCUUGACCAUAU